GACGAACGCUGGCGGCGUGCUUAACACAUGCAAGUCGAACGGAAAGGCCUGCUUUCCCUUGUGGAUUGCGGGUACUCGAGUGGCGAACGGGUGAGUAACACGUGAGUGAUCUGCCCCCAACUUGGGUAUAAGCCUGGGAAACUGGGUCUAAUUCCCGAUAGGACUGCAGGGUGGUGCCUGUGGUGGAAAACGAUUUUCUAGUGGUUGGGGAUGAGCUCGCGGCCUAUCAGCUUGUUGGUGGGGUAAUGGCCUACCAAGGCGGCGACGGGUAGCCGGCCUGCGAGGGUGGACGGCCACAUUGGGACUGAGAUACGGCCCAGACUCCUACGGGAGGCAGCAGUGGGGAAUAUUGCACAAUGGGCGGAAGCCUGAUGCAGCGACGCCGCGUGGGGGAUGACGGCCUUCGGGUUGUAAACUCCUUUCGACCGCGAGGAAGCCACCUGGUUGGAAGGGUGGUGACGGUAGUGGUAGAAGAAGCACCGGCUAACUACGUG
rnacentral:rRNA from 1 species